GCACGACAGCCGCAGGGUGUGUGAAACUAUGUUAAUGACGCAAAUCCAGCACGUGAAGAACAAGCAACACCAUCUGUCUCUGUAUAAAGUCUGCACACGCACAGAAAUCGUGUAACAGCGCUUGGUUUGGAAAAUAUUGGCGAAAGCAGGAAAUAUGAAGACCGUCGCUAUACUUAUGCUUGCACUGUUCACUUUGGUGGCAGGAGGACAGCAGUGCCCGUAUGGAAAACCAGUCGUGAAGUGUUUUGUCAACCCAUGCCAGUUUACCCGUUGCCCAAUAUUUCCUGCCGCACGCUGCGUACCCAAUUACUGCGGAGGCUGCAAUGCUGAUUGGUACGUGAACAAACGUCGAGUGACCUGUUGGUGAAAAUAUAGCAGAUGAACUGGAUAUGGACAUCCUCAUCACUAGAGUACAAGGCAUGGUAUUCAUCAACGAUGCUCAUUAAACAUUAAACUGUG